AAGUGGAUCCAACAGCCCCACUCAAGCAAAAGGACCAAAAGGAGGAGCCUUGAUUCACCGGACCCAUGGACACACGGCCUUGAACAGCAUUUACCAGGCAGCGUUCUGUGGAAAAUCAGUGUCCUACAAGAGGUCUAAAGGUAGGAGCCUGUGUAGACCACCUGUAGGCAGGAUGGGGAGGACUACGACCACUUAACCCACCGGCAAGAGCUACAUGCAUCAGAAAGAGGCUACCAUGACUCAGACGAGGUUCGCCCUGCCAGGGGCGAUGACAGAAGCUGGAGCUACCCUGGAACCGGCGAAUUCAGAGGCGCCACGUGAAGACCUAAGAAGAAAA